rnacentral:rRNA from 1 species
GAAGGGAGCUUGCUCCUGGAUUCAGCGGCGGACGGGUGAGUAAUGCCUAGGAAUCUGCCUGGUAGUGGGGGAUAACGUCCGGAAACGGGCGCUAAUACCGCAUACGUCCUGAGGGAGAAAGUGGGGGAUCUUCGGACCUCACGCUAUCAGAUGAGCCUAGGUCGGAUUAGCUAGUUGGUGGGGUAAAGGCCUACCAAGGCGACGAUCCGUAACUGGUCUGAGAGGAUGAUCAGUCACACUGGAACUGAGACACGGUCCAGACUCCUACGGGAGGCAGCAGUGGGGAAUAUUGGACAAUGGGCGAAAGCCUGAUCCAGCCAUGCCGCGUGUGUGAAGAAGGUCUUCGGAUUGUAAAGCACUUUAAGUUGGGAGGAAGGGCAGUAAGUUAAUACCUUGCUGUUUUGACGUUACCAACAGAAUAAGCACCGGCUAACUUCGUGCCAGCAGCCGCGGUAAUACGAAGGGUGCAAGCGUUAAUCGGAAUUACUGGGCGU